rnacentral:rRNA from 1 species
CCUACGGGAGGCUGCAGUGGGGGAUAUUGCACAAUGGGGGGAACCCUGAUGCAGCGACGCCGCGUGGGUGAAGGAGUGCUUCGGCAUGUAAAGCCCUAUCGGCAGGGAAGAAGCAAGACGGUACCUGACUAAGAAGCCCCGGCUAACUACGUGCCAGCAGCCGCGGUAAUACGUAGGGGGCGAGCGUUAUCCGGAUUCACUGGGUGUAAAGGGAGCGUAGACGGCCAUGCAAGCCAGGGGUGAAAGCCCGGGGCCCAACCCCGGGACUGCCCUUGGAACUGCAUGGCUGGAGUGCGGGAGGGGCAGGCGGAAUGCCUGGUGUAGCGGUGAAAUGCGUAGAUAUCAGGAGGAACACCGGCGGCGAAGGCGGCCUGCUGGACCGCGACUGACGUUGAGGCUCGAAAGCGUGGGGAGUGAACAGGAUUAGAUACCCCUGUAGUC